GCUGUCACUUAUAGAUGGAUCCGCGCUGCAUUAGCUAGUUGGUAAGGUAACGGCUUACCAAGGCAACGAUGCAUAGCCGACCUGAGAGGGUGAUCGGCCACACUGGAACUGAGACACGGUCCAGACUCCUACGGGAGGCAGCAGUAGGGAAUCUUCCGCAAUGGGCGAAAGCCUGACGGAGCAACGCCGCGUGAGUGAUGAAGGUCUUCGGAUCGUAAAACUCUGUUAUUAGGGAAGAACAUAUGUGUAAGUAACUGUGCACAUCUUGACGGUACCUAAUCAGAAAGCCACGGCUAACUACGUGCCAGCAGCCGCGGUAAUACGUAGGUGGCAAGCGUUAUCCGG
rnacentral:rRNA from 1 species